GACGAACGCUGGCGGCGUGCUUAACACAUGCAAGUCGAACGGUGAAGCGCCUUCCUUUUUGGUGGGUGUGGAUGAGUGGCGAACGGGUGAGUAUCACGUGAGUAACCUGCCCCCUUCUUCUGGAUAACCGCAUGAAAGUGUGGCUAAUACGGGAUAUUCUGGGUCUGUCGCAUGAUGGGUCUGGGAAAGAUAUUGUUUCGGUGGGGGAUGGGCUCGCGGCCUAUCAGCUUGUUGGUGGGGUGAUGGCCUACCAAGGCGGUGACGGGUAGCCGGCCUGAGAGGGUGGACGGUCACACGGGGACUGAGACACGGCCCAGACUCCUACGGGAGGCAGCAGUGGGGAAUAUUGCACAAUGGGCGCAAGCCUGAUGCAGCGACGCCGCGUGAGGGAUGGAGGCCUUCGGGUUGUGAACCUCUUUCGCCAGUGAAGCAGGCCUGCCUCGUUUGUGGGUGGGUUGACGGUAGCUGGAUAAGAAGCGCCGGCUAACUACGUG
rnacentral:rRNA from 1 species